GACUUCCUUGAAGGCAGAGAUUGUGUCUUGAUUAUGUCUGUCUUCGUAGCACCUACCACAGUGCCUGACACAACAACCAGGGCUUGCAUGUAUAGUUGCGAUGUUCUUCACUGCACAAGGGUGCCAGAAUAAAGGACGUAGCUGGAGUUGAAAUCAGUUUUUCUCAUUGGGACAGUUGAUACAAAUUGCCACAUCUGCCAAGAGCAGAAGUACACAAUCCACAGAAGAUCUCGUUUGAAAUUUAGUAUAAUUCUGAG